rnacentral:rRNA from 2 species
CACGUAGGGGGCAAGCGUUGUUCGGAAUUACUGGGCGUAAAGGGCAUGUAGGCGGUUUUGUAAGCCUGGCGUGAAAUUCUGCAGCUUAACUGUAGGACUGCGCUGGGAACUGCGAGACUGGAGUCACGGAGAGGGAGCCAGAAUUCCAGGUGUAGGGGUGAAAUCUGUAGAUAUCUGGAAGAAUACCAAUGGCGAAGGCAGGCUUCUGGCCGAUGACUGACGCUGAGGUGCGAAAGCGUGGGUAGCAAACAGG